rnacentral:misc_RNA from 1 species
AAGUCGUAACAAGGUUUCCGUAGGUCACCGGCCGGCAGACAUGUCACAGGGCGUGCGCGCCCCCUCAUUCACCCCUUGCCCUCUCAAGCCUCGCGGAAACGCCGGGCAUAAAAACCGAACAACUGUUAACAAUGGAUAUCUUGGUUCUC